UGCAGUCGAACGGUAGCACAGAGAGCUUGCUCUCGGGUGACGAGUGGCGGACGGGUGAGUAAUGUCUGGGAAACUGCCUGAUGGAGGGGGAUAACUACUGGAAACGGUAGCUAAUACCGCAUAACGUCGCAAGACCAAAGAGGGGGACCUUCGGGCCUCUUGCCAUCAGAUGUGCCCAGAUGGGAUUAGCUAGUAGGUGGGGUAAUGGCUCACCUAGGCGACGAUCCCUAGCUGGUCUGAGAGGAUGACCAGCCACACUGGAACUGAGACACGGUCCAGACUCCUACGGGAGGCAGCAGUGGGGAAUAUUGCACAAUGGGCGCAAGCCUGAUGCAGCCAUGCCGCGUGUAUGAAGAAGGCCUUCGGGUUGUAAAGUACUUUCAGCGAGGAGGAAGGCAUCAAGGUUAAUAACCUUGGUGAUUGACGUUACUCGCAGAAGAAGCACCGGCUAACUCCGUGCCAGCAGCCGCGGUAAUACGGAGGGUGCAGGCGUUAAUCGGAAUUACUGGGCGUAAAGCGCACGCAGGCGGUCUGUCAAGUCGGAUGUGAAAUCCCCGGGCUCAACCUGGGAACUGCAUUCGAAACUGGCAGGCUAGAGUCUUGUAGAGGGGGGUAGAAUUCCAGGUGUAGCGGUGAAAUGCGUAGAGAUCUGGAGGGAUACCGGUGGCGAAGGCGGCCCCCUGGAC
rnacentral:rRNA from 1 species